AACGAACGCUGGCGGCAGGCUUAACACAUGCAAGUCGAACGCCCCGCAAGGGGAGUGGCAGACGUGUGAGUAACGCGUGGGAACAUACCCUUUCCUGCGGAAUAGCUCCGGGAAACUGGAAUUAAUACCGCAUACGCCCUACGGGGGAAAGAUUUAUCGGGGAAGGAUUGGCCCGCGUUGGAUUAGCUAGUUGGUGGGGUAAAGGCCUACCAAGGCGACGAUCCAUAGCUGGUCUGAGAGGAUGAUCAGCCACAUUGGGACUGAGACACGGCCCAAACUCCUACGGGAGGCAGCAGUGGGGAAUAUUGGACAAUGGGCGCAAGCCUGAUCCAGCCAUGCCGCGUGAGUGAUGAAGGCCUUAGGGUUGUAAAGCUCUUUCACCGAUGAAGAUAAUGACGGUAGUCGGAGAAGAAGCCCCGGCUAACUUCGUG
rnacentral:rRNA from 1 species